UACGUAGGGUGCAAGCGUUGUCCGGAAUUAUUGGGCGUAAAGAGCUCGUAGGCGGCUCGUCGCGUCGGCUGUGAAAACCUGGGGCUCAACCCCCGGGCCUGCAGCCGAUACGGGCGAGCUAGAAUUCGGUAGGGGAGACUGGAAUUCCUGGUGUAGCGGUGAAAUGCGCAGAUAUCAGGAGGAACACCGGUGGCGAAGGCGGGUCUCUGGGCCGAUAUUGACGCUGAGGAGCGAAAGCGUGGGGAGCGAACAGG
rnacentral:rRNA from 1 species